CAACUACUACCUCCGUCCGGAAAUACUUGUCGCUGAAAUGUAUGUAUCUAGAUGUAUUUGUAGUUCUAGAUACAUCCAUUUCUGUGACAAGUAAUUUGGGGCGGAGGGAGUAUUUG
rfam:Triticum urartu cultivar G1812 contig637076, whole genome shotgun sequence.